rnacentral:rRNA from 1 species
UUGUCUCAAAGAUUAAGCCAUGCAUGUCUCAGUACGAGCCACAUUAAGGUGAAACCGCGAAAGGCUCAUUAAAUCAGUUAUGGUUCCUUAGAUCGUACCCACAUUUACUUGGAUAACUGUGGUAAUUCUAGAGCUAAUACAUGCAGAUAGAGCUCCGACCGGAGACGGAAGGAGUGCUUUUAUUAGAACAAAACCAAUCGGCGGCGGGCGCUUCGGCGUUCGUUCGCCGCUCUACCUGGUGAAUCUGAAUAACUUUCAGCUGAUCGCACGGUCUCGAACCGGCGACGCAUCUUUCAAAUGUCUGCCUUAUCAACUGUCGAUGGUAGGUUCUGCGCCUACCAUGGUCGUAACGGGUAACGGGGAAUCAGGGUUCGAUUCCGGAGAGGGAGCCUGAGAAACGGCUACCACAUCCAAGGAAGGCAGCAGGCGCGCAAAUUACCCACUCCCGGCACGGGGAGGUAGUGACGAAAAAUAACGAUACGGGACUCAUCCGAGGCCCCGUAAUCGGAAUGAGUACACUUUAAAUCCUUUAACGAGGACCCAUUGGAGGGCAAGUCUGGUGCCAGCAGCCGCGGUAAUUCCAGCUCCAAUAGCGUA